GAUGAACGCUGGCGGCGUGCCUAAUACAUGCAAGUCGAGCGAACGGACGAGAAGCUUGCUUCUCUGAUGUUAGCGGCGGACGGGUGAGUAACACGUGGAUAACCUACCUAUAAGACUGGGAUAACUUCGGGAAACCGGAGCUAAUACCGGAUAAUAUUUUGAACCGCAUGGUUCAAAAGUGAAAGACGGUCUUGCUGUCACUUAUAGAUGGAUCCGCGCUGCAUUAGCUAGUUGGUAAGGUAACGGCUUACCAAGGCAACGAUGCAUAGCCGACCUGAGAGGUUGAUCGGCCACACGGGAACUGAGACACGGUCCAGACUCCUACGGGAGGCAGCAGUAGGGAAUCUUCCGCAAUGGGCGAAAUCCUGACGGAGCAACGCCGCGUGAGUGAUGAAGGUCUUCGGAUCUUAAAACUCUGUUAUUAGGGAAGAACAUAUGUGUAAGUAACUGUGCACAUCUUGACGGUACCUAAUCAGAAAGCCACGGCUAACUACGUG
rnacentral:rRNA from 1 species